GGACCACUUAGCAGAAAUUCGACCGUCUCACUGUAACUCGACUCACUCGUUCCACUGCCCGUAUCACGAUGGAACACACUCGUCACCCGUUCUAAUUAUAUUGGUAUGUUCUCUACAGGAAAAGACGACUGCGUCCAUAUAAACCUGUGCCAAGAUGCAAGCAUUUCAAGAAUUCACACAGCUACCGGUGCAUGCGCGCUCAAGUUAUGCGACUAGCUGGUCCUACUAAAAGCGAGUUAGCAGUUUAUCAUACGAGGAUAAAGAAAGUUUUCACAAAAAAUGUCAUGAAACGCGUCGUUAGUUACAAUCGGCAUUAUGAAGCAAUGCUAAACAUGCAAGCUGGGACAUACAAGAAACCUCAACCGAAGUUGUAUAUUCGAUAAAUUGUAAUAAAAAGUGUAAAAUAAAAUGUCUUUUAUUUCUU